AUACGUAGGGAGCAAGCGUUGUCCGGAUUUACUGGGUGUAAAGGGUGCGUAGGCGGCUUUUUAAGUCAGAUGUGAAAUCUAUGGGCUCAACCCAUAAACUGCAUUUGAAACUAGAGAGCUUGAGUGAAGUAGAGGCAGGCGGAAUUCCCUGUGUAGCGGUGAAAUGCGUAGAGAUAGGGAGGAACACCAGUGGCGAAGGCGGCCUGCUGGGCUUUAACUGACGCUGAGGCACGAAAGCGUGGGUAGCAAACAGGAUUAGAUACCCUGGUAGUCCACGCUGUAAACGAUGAUUACUAGGUGUGGGGGGACUGACCCCUUCCGUGCCGGAGUUAACACAAUAAGUAAUCCACCUGGGGAGUACGGCCGCAAGGUUGAAACUCAAAGGAAUUGGCGGGG
rnacentral:rRNA from 1 species